UGGACAGAUUAUUGUAUUCGACUAUAUUCGACUGUAUUCACGACGUGAAAUAGAUUUAAAACGGAAAGUGAAUCAAUUAACAUAAUAGACUCCU
rfam:Nicotiana attenuata strain TT chromosome 6, whole genome shotgun sequence.